rnacentral:lncRNA from 13 species
GUUGGAUUUAGAGGUCCUAUUAGGAUUAAAUGUCAAUGUCAUUGUUCUAAAACAUAAAGUCAACAAUAGCCUUUGUAGCCACAGCUACCCCAGAAUAGAAUCCACUGGCUUCCAAUCAAUGUUCUACUUUGUGAGGGGCAUCAUAACUUCUUGACCACAGGGAACACAAAUACCUCAGGGAGAGCCUUUGGUUGGCAGAGUCCACAACAAGUCAAACAAUUUAUUCAACUUUGCCCAUGAACUCAUAUAUAUUCUUACCUUGGGACAUUUCUCCUUGUGUACCAUUGGGACUCAGAAAAUUAUAUCCCAAAAUAUGGAAUUUUGGCAUGCUGAGUACUUUAAAUUAAAAGAGAUUGGAGGACCUCAGAAGCAGCAUCAUGAGUAAGUUCUCUCUGAUCUUCUUCUGUUCUGUUUUUUU